UACGUAGGUGGCAAGCGUUGUCCGGAUUUACUGGGCGUAAAGGAUGCGUAGGCGGAUAUUUAAGUCAGAUGUGAAAUUCCCGAGCUUAACUUGGGAGCUGCAUUUGAAACUGGGUAUCUAGAGUGUUGGAGAGGAAAGUGGAAUUCCUAGUGUAGCGGUGAAAUGCGUAGAGAUUAGGAAGAACCCCAGUGGCGAAGGCGACUUUCUGGACAAUAACUGACGCUGAGGCAUGAAAGCGUGGGGAGCAAACAGG
rnacentral:rRNA from 1 species